GAAUUUUGGGGUUUUUUUUUCUUUUUUCAGAGAAUUUCUGGCCAAGAAGGAUCAUCAAACUUCACUAAAAAGUUUGGUUUCUGGUUCUCAAAUUGUUAUUAGAAGUUUGGUUCUUUGUCUUUUGAGAAUUGGUUAGGAUUUUGAGGUUAUGGGGUUUUUUUCUUUUUUCGGAGAAUUUCUGGCCAAGAAGGAUCAUCAAGCCUCUCCGAAAAAGCCAGCCCAUCACAGGUAUGCAUUUCUUGGGCUUUUCAAUUUGAUUUCUGGUUCUCGAAUUGUUAUUAGAAGUUUGGUUCUUUGUCUUUUGAAAAUUAGUUGAGAUUUUAAGGUUAUGAGGUUUUUUCCUUUUUCGGAGAAUUUAUGGCCAAGAAUGAUCAUCAAGCUUCUCCGAAAAAGCCAGCCCAUCACAGGAUUUUGAGAUUAUGGGAUUUUUUUCUUUUUUCGGAGAAUUUCUGGCUAAGAAGGAUCAUCAAGCUUCUCCGAAAAAGCCAGCCCAUCACAGAGAAUUUAUGGCCAAGAAAGAUCCUCAAGCUUCUUCGAAAAAGCCAGCUCAUCACAGAAUUUCUGGCCAAAAAGGAUCAUCAAGCUUCUCCGAAAAAGCCAGCCCAUCACAGGUUAUGGAGUUUUUUCUUUUUUCGGAGAAUUUCUGGCCAAGAAGGAUCAUCAAGCUUCUCCGAAAAAGCCAGCCCAUCACAGGUAUGCAUUUCUUGGGCUUUUCAAUUUGAUUUCUGGUUCUCGAAUUGUUAUUAGAAGUUUGGUUCUUUGUCUUUUGAGAAUUGGUUGAGAUUUUGAGGUUAUUGGGUUUUUUCUUUUUUCGGAGAAUUUCUGGCCAAGAAGGAUCAUCAAGCUUCUCUGAAAAAGCCAGCCCAUCACAGAUGAAGUUCAAAAUCUUAACCCGACCUUGGACUGUGGGAGAAGAGGUCGGGAGAGGUACGGUACCCACAGAUGGAAAGUGGUAGUCAGAUUUCUUGAAAUAAAAACAUGCAGAGAAUGCCAAUCUCGGUGGUUUGAGUGGCUCAACCCCCAAAUAAGAAGAGACGAAUGAAGCGAAAUGGAGGAUACAAAGCUUCGGGAGCUGUCUAGAAUAAUGUCAGCUCAGUGGCAGACUAUUUCAGAGCUUUUCAACUAUAGCCGUACUGCAAUGGCUUGCCAACUGAGGCACGCAUGCCUCCUUGAAAACCCACAACCACAUGUAUGUAUUCCUUCUAAUUUUCUUAAUUUGAUAUUCUUUUGAAGAAUUGUGUUUAGGGUUAUGGGCUUCUUAGGGUUAAAGAAUUGUGUUUAGGCUAUGGAUUUAUUAAUUUGAUUUUCGGUUCUAAUUGGGUUUGGAGUUAUUGUUAGUUAGUUAGUUAGUUAGUUAGUACAUUAAUGAGCUAGUUGGUAGGAUUUAGUUCCCUAAUAAGGUUGGUAGUUGGUAGGAUAAGGUUGGUAGCCUUAAUUCCCUAAAUUAGGGGAUUGACUUUAGGAGUUCCACGGCUUAGAAGCCAAGGCCAGCUACCCUCUUGUUUGUUUCUGUUUAGGGGCUUGGAGAGGAAGCCAACUCUCUUUGUAUAUGUCUUAUUGUAAGUGAUUCAAUGUAACUAUGAAAAACUGCAA